UGGGGAAUUUUGCGCAAUGGAGGCAACUCUGACGCAGCAACGCCGCGUGCGGGAUGAAGGCCCUCGGGUUGUAAACCGCUUUCAGCAGGGAAGACUUCGACUGUACCUGCAGAAGAAGCCCCGGCUAACUACGUGCCAGCAGCCGCGGUAAUACGUAGGGGGCGAGCGUUAUCCGGAUUCAUUGGGCGUAAAGCGCGCGUAGGCGGCUCGCCAAGCGGGAUCUCAAACCUGAGGGCUCAACCCCCGAGCAGGAUCCCGGACUGGCGGGCUCGAGUUCGGUAGGGGAAGGCGGAACUCCCAGUGUAGCGGUGAAAUGCGCAGAUAUUGGGAGGAACACCGAUGGCGAAGGCAGCCUUCUGGGCCGUAACUGACGCUGAGGUGCGAAAGCUAGGGGAGCGAACAGGAUUAGAUACCC
rnacentral:rRNA from 1 species